GGUUAAGCAUCAAUCGGCGCGGUCAGUACUUAGGUUGGUGACCGGAAAAAACUUCAGUAUAAGGUAAUGUUUCAAAUAAAAAAACUCAUAAAUGUCUCAAUUCAGAUAAAUAACUAUAAUAGCAAAAACUCAGAAAUGUCUCAUAAAAACCUACAAAAAAAAAACUAAAAAAAGAAAAAUCUCACAAAAACUAGAAACAGAACCUAAUAAGUCUCACAAAUCAAAUUUAGUCUCACGAAAAUCUCAAAAAAUGUCUCACGAACAUCUCCAAAAUCUUCAGAAAUGCCUAAUAAAAACCUCACGAACAUCUCCGAGAUCUCAAAACAAUGUCUGAU